UCCGUUUUAACGAUGUCUGUUCAGGCACCCAGGAAGUGCUUGUUGGGGUGCUUAGAUAACAUCUCCUGAGAAGAAACCUUAAGUUCUAGAAAAAGGGGGGUGGGGUGGGUACAAAGAAUUGGGCUAUAGACUCGAAUGGCAAAGAUAGCUCAACAUCCCACUUUUCUUAAAAAAAAAAAAAAAAAGGAGUUCCUGCUGUGUCACAGUGGAUUAAGAAUCUAACUGCAGCAGCUCAGGUCACUGCGGAGGUGUAGGUUUGAUCCCCAGCCCAGUGCAGUGAGUUAAAGGAUCUGGUGUUGCCGAAACUGCUGCUUGGACUCAAUCCCUUGCCCAGAAACUUCCAUAUGUCGCAGAUGCAGUCAUAAAAUUAAAAAAAAAAAAUCCCACUUUUCUUAAGCCAAGUACUAUCGUGGGUGAUGCUGCUAAGCCUACAGUCACAGAUUAGAAAGGCUGUCAGUCGUCAGAUGAGUGUGUACCUGGAACAGAAUAGGUGUACAACAAAUCUUGAUUCAAGAAUGAUUGACUGGGAGUAUCCGUAGUGGCUUAGAGGGCUAAGAACCUGACAUAGUGUCUGUGAAGAUUCAGGUUCUCAGGCUAGGGAUUGAAUUGGAGCUACAGCUGCCAGCCUAUACCACAGCCACAGCAACGCGGGAUCCUUAACCCACUGAGUAAGGCCAGGGAUCGAACCUGCAACCUCAUGGUUCCUAGUGGGAUUCAUUUCUGCUGCACCAUGAUGGGAACUCUGCUACUCUGAUAUUCCUUCUGCUCCGUCACAACUGCUGCCCUCAAUACUUUUACCAGCUAAUGGGAACAUCAGGAUUAAUGUAUGUGAGACGUUUAAAAAAGAAUCGAGUGUGCUGCUGAGACUCACAGUUAAAUAGGAGGCAGCCUUCUCUGUAAAUUUGCAGGUUUUCACAUGUUUGCACAGACAGCGCAAAAAGACAGCGCCAAAGACAGUGCAAAAACAUCAAGAAGAAAGUCAAAAUCUCGGGAGUUCCCAUUGUGGUGUAGCAGAAAAGAAUCUGACUAGUAUCUAUGAGGAUGCAGGUUUGAUCCUGGAUUAAGGGUUAAGGAUCUGGCGUUGCUGUGAGCAGUAGUGUAGGUUGCAGACGUGGAUCAGACCCCAUGUUGUGGUGGCAGUGGUAUAGGCCGGCAGCUACAGAUCCGAUUCGACCCCUAGCCUGGGAACUUCCAUAUGCUGUGGGUGCUGCCCUAAAGCGCCCCCAAAAAAGAAAGUCAGAAAUUCCCUGCUCCCAUGUGCCCCUGCUACCAGUUCCACCCCUCCGAGAUACUGUCAGCAUUUAGGUGGACGCUUUUCCAGAGGUCUGUGUGUGUGUGUUGCGUGGACCUACAGAUAGAUUUUGCGCACAUGGGAUCUUAGCAUACGUGUGCUUCUGCAGCUGUUUUCAGUCAACAAUGCGUUGUAGUAUCUGUGUUUAUAGUUUCCCAUGAAACGGAGGGGUGUUAGGAAAAAUUGUGAAAGACUUUGGAAAUGGAGUGAGUGUCACUUCAAUGGAAUGCUGGGUGUUUUCUACCAGACCCUUAGGGUUAUCUGGUUGUAAAUGGGUCUAUGUCUUUGAUUGCCUUGGAGCAGUUUAAUAAUAUAUCUAAUGUGGCCCAUAUAAUGGGCCACUUAGUUUUCCAGUUUUUAACUGUGUUGUAAACAGUGUGUGAAUAUUCUCGUCGUUGUAUAACAUCUUUGUAUACUUAUUUAAAGAUUUAGGGCCCCCCCCCCGCCGCCGCCCCAGGUGGUAGCUGCCUAAUAGCAUCUCCCCACCCUCUAUCCCUUACUCCCUACUUUUGGAAAAGAGUGAUAAUUUCUCAAUGGGGCUAAGUCGUCCUAGGGAUGUACAGAGUACAUUUUCUUAUGAGAAAAAAGCAUGAUACACAUGAGGACAUGCGAUGUGACGUUUUUGACACCUUUGGGACUUAAACUCCCCCCCCGCCCCAGUCAUCAAAGCUUGGAUUAGGAAAAUCAAGUUCCGUCAAAGACUUUAUUUGGCAGUGACUUUGUAAUUGCUACUGAGUUUUGUGUAUGUGAAUCCGGCAGGGAACAGACUCAGAUACCCAGCCCAUAGCUUUGUCAAGGUGGCCCCGUAUUUCUCUCUUUUGAUUAUCACCACAGGGCAAGCUAUUAUUAUUGUUGUUGUUGUUGUUUUAAUUUGAGAAAGAAAAAAUCAAACUUAGAGAGGUACUGUGUUAUUCCAAGUUCCCACCGCAAGGACCACUUCCUCCUCUGGUACUAACUCACUACAUCUUCUCCCAUCCCUAAGGACUUCCAGGUUUGUUCGUGUGUUGUGAAACUCUUGGGAGGCGUCUGAACCUGGAGUUCUGAGGUCGUAGAUUUAUAAAUGCAUCUCAGGGAAGGAGUACCCUUUCCUCAUUCUUUCAAAGGUGCUGCUGUUGGUUCCACAUAAUGUCCUUUGCCUCCUGCCUCUUAGCUGGUACCCUUUCUCCUCUGUGGAAUUCUGUGAGUUCUUUUAAAGUUUUGUUGAACUCAGGGAGUUCCCGUCAUGGCUCAGUGGCAAUAAACCUGACCAGUAUCCAUGAGGACACGGGUUCCAUCCCUGGCCUCGCUCAGUGGGUAAAGGAUCCAGCGUUGCUGUGGCUGUGGUGUAGGCCAGCAGCAACAGCUCCGAUGGGACCCCUAGCCUGGGAGCUUCCAUAUGCUGUGGGUGCAGCCCUAAAAAGCCAAAAAAAAAAA
ensembl:lncRNA